AUUUCUUUGGGUGGAUAGAAAGAAGAGGUUAUUGUGACUUGAUAUCAUGGAAAGAUUCGAGAUCUGAAUUAGUAGCAUAACUAAUACUUUAGUGUCUUUUGACAUGGAUAUUUCUCAGCAGAGUAUGCAAAGAAUGCAUCAGUUGUAAGGAGCCAUUCAGAAUACAUUGUAAUAUUGAUGGAACGCAAAGGAGAAGGCUUGUGCAGGUUGGAAGUGUAAAGUAUUUAGACCAGGACAAAGGUCUUGCAGAAGGUUGAUUUGCAUGUUGUCUUCACUUAGCUUUUAUUUGAAAACUCACUUGUGUGUAAUUAAUGUUUAAAUGUAUCCAUCUUUUAUAACACUUCAGCUGGUACUUAUAACAUUUCAAGGUUUCUGCACUUUGCUGUAGUAGAUUAGUAAGUUUCCAGAAACAGGCUAAAGGGCAGCUUUCGAGUGGGAGUUUGGGUAGCAUAGUUUUGAUUCUCUAGCCUAGAUUCUCUGAAUAUCAUGGAAAGGCCAGACACAAUUCUAAGAAGAAGGUGUCUGUGAGGUCUUCAAUGAUUUCUUUGCUUUUCCACAUACUGACAUAUGAACUUAGCCUAAACCAACGCUUUAAAAGACAGCCAUUUUAAUUGGUUAACCAAAAAAAAAAAAAAAAAAAAAGUGAACAGUUGUCUCUAAUGUCCUCCUUCCUUGGCUGUAUAACUAGGUUAAUUAUAAUCUCAGGUGUAUGGUUUUUGAUGUUGCUGCUGCUUUCAAACUGUGGAAAGGUGUAAUUUAGUGCUGUUACCAUUGCUUAAGCUCUGAUACCGUGUCUACUCCCUGGAAGAAUAUGUUUGUGUUCUUACAUUUUUAAUAGUGAAUAUGCUAUUAAUGUUAACACUAGUGGCAUCCUUGAGGCCUGGGAAGUACAUGCCCAAUUAUAUAAGACAGUAUCACAUGAAUGGCUGGCAAGUCUGUACUGAAAUGCUGACUAACAUGAGGCCUUCUGUAAGUUCUGGUGGUUUUCCAGUAAUAACAAAACUUUGCUUCCUUACCAUCUGAACCUCCCACAUCUUAGUGCUUAUUAGGUCUGGAUGUUGUGCUGGGUGGGGCUCUGUAACUUCUCCCAAGAGCUCUGAAGGCAAGGUAUUUGUCUGCAGGUAAAGAGGCCGAAGGUUCCCGCAGUGCUGGCCUCGGAAGUGGGUGUUUCAGGUCUCUGUGUGUGUGUGUGUGUGUGUGUGUGUGUGUUUCCAGCACUUGCUCUCCUUCCUUCCCCUCCCUCUUCUCCUUCUCUAUCUUGUUUUUUCCUUCUCAGUUACUUUAUUAAAAUUGUCUCCCUGGAGGUAUUUAAAGUUGAUGCAGAUCUGGUUUUCUGCCAUUUUUAGCCAACUGCAUAGAUG
rnacentral:lncRNA from 1 species